AGUAGAAAGACUUUGGAAUUCAACUCAACUGGUAAAACACCAUCCUACAUCUACUCUCAGCCAACCAAAUGUAAAUCUUCCCUACUCCAACGGUCAAUAAAAUCCAACAUUGCAUUCUCAUGGGCCCACACCCAUGUAUCGAAAAUCCUCCUUUUCUCCUUAUGAUUUUGCGUGGCUGAUCUUUUUUUCUUUUUUUUUUUUUGGUUUUUUUCAUUAGUGGUGUCAUUAACAUUGGGAUUACUAAUAAAUAGGUUCGGAGAUGUCGAAGCUUAGGUUCGGAAGAGAUGAGCUGCCGGUUUGUCCCAAGCCUCGCAGGCUCGUAGCCGCUGCGCCUGACUUUCUCAAGCCACUUGCAUGUAACCACGGCCAUUCAAACCAUGAAGCGAGCAGCAAAAUUUUGGACAUUAUCACAAUUAAGGUUACAACUGUUUCCAAUUCCUGUUUGCAUUUGUUGAUUAUUUAUC